AAAGCAAAGUCCAGAAUUUGGAGACCCGGGCUUGCACUCCCGAAGCUAGCAAAUGCAAGGGCUGGAGCCUCACCUCCAUUGACUUGGAAGUGCAACAGCCCCUGUGGGAAAACCAUAAUGUCACCCUUCUCAAGAGUUUGCAGAUAAGGUGUGUUAUCUGAGGCAACAAACCCGGCGCAGAUUGUCCCUUGGGCGACAAUUAGGACUUCUGAAGCUCCAGGGUGUGUGUGAAAUGGGACAACUCCGCCAACCGCCAAGUCUAGACGGGCGAUGGAAAUGCCGAGGCCAUUCACACCAGGAAACUGAGCAACAAAUGCAGGGGUGACUGCAGCUUUGAUGAUGUUACUGGUGUUACCAGCAAUGCCCAGGCCCGAGAACACAAAAUCAUUUACUUUAACACUUGCAGGCUUUUUGCAAGAGAAGCCUGCAGGGCCUUCAGGAGCUGCUAAGUCUGCAACACAGAAGUCUUGCACAGCCGCAUUGGAGGAGGAGAGGAGGAGAAAAAAUGUGAACAAGAUAGGGAAAAUCAUCGUUGCCUGGCGCAAUAGGUGUGUGGUGGCUGCAAGCUUUCUUUUCUUUUAAGGUGUGCAAGUCUUGAUAAGAAAAUUGGGAUCAUAUAUAGUGGGAUAAUGCAAAUAUCUUGAGCUAUUGCAAUUGGUUGCUGAGAAUAUGCUACCCAUGUAUUCACAUGUAUGGCAAUGCUAAAGGUAUACGAUGGGGGAAAGGACAGGUUUCAAGCUGUGAUGCAUGUGAGUAUGAUAUUUUUCUCGGAUAACAACAAGAAGCUUCUUUUUGUUUUGGGUUAUUGAUCGAAUGCUCCCUCAAUUUUUGCCCCAAUAUCAUUUUGGUCCAACAAUUAAAAUUUUCAUUUCAAUAGUCCUUCAACUCUUUAUUUGGUAUCAAAACGUUAAAAACUGUUCAUAUUACCGUUAAAUCAAGGGGUAAAAUUGUCCAUAUGAAUUAAAAUAUGAAUAAAAAAUUAAAAAUUGAAUGAACCUAUUAUAAAACUUAGAAAAUUAAAAAAAUUGAAUCUCACCGCCUACUGUAGUCCACUCACCAGCCACAUGGCCUUUUUUUUUUCUUUUUUUAUUGAGAUUGACUUAAAAAUUAAUAAAAACGACCAUCCGCAAAACGCAACCCCUCCCUUUUCCUCACCCAACACAAAUCCUCAAUGACUUGAUGGCCUCAAAAAGAGGCUGAAUUCCAAAGAUUUUGGUCCAUUAAAGCAGUUCCAGUGGACAAAUGCUGCCAGGGUUGUUGGUGGGCUCCACAAGCCUGGGCUGGCCCUCAAGCAAAACCAGCUCUUGCUCUAGCUUGGGUUUGCUGACAUCAGCGAUGACGUCAUCAACCAAAAUUUUAAAAAAAUUAAAAAUUAAAAAUUUCAAAAAUUUUAAAAAAUAAAUACUUAGUAAUAUUUUUCACUUCCCACACCAAAACUCUAUACAAAUUCCUCUCCUCAUAUCUCAUAUGAAUAGUGGUUACCAUGGUAAUGAGUGGAAACACCAUAAGCCUUUUGCAAGGGCUGCAACUAUUCACCUGAAUAGUAAUAGCCCUUGCCUCCCCUUGCCAUUUGCCAUGGCAAAUGGGUGGAAGUGCUCUUAGAUUCCAACAAAAACCCUUCUCUUCCUCUGGACUUUCGUCGAGCAACUGAUGGGAAACUCCAAGUCGCACCACCAGCAAACAAGGACCUUUAAGCCCAUUUCGAUGGCUGCCAUGGGGUCUGCCACUGCCUCCAACCCCUCUCUGAUUCCUAUGACGUCAUACGCCAAUUUCCUCUAGCCGUCAGAUCCAAGCAAAACUGGUCUCUCUGUUUUGGUGUUUCCAACUCGGCUCGCGGCUCCGAUUGUCCUUUCUGAGGCAAGCGCGAGGUUCACGACCACGUGGUUGGCUGCGAAGCCUGCAAGCGCGGCUUUCACCUCACAUGCACCGGAAUGCGCACUACCAAGCCAUGAAUUUGGAGAAAUGGGAAUGUGAGGAGUGUACGAGCAGUGGGGUUAGAAGCAAGUGCUGAACGUUUGGAGUUUUUUUUUUAAUUGGUUGAAAGGCCACCUGAAGUUAAGUUCAAGCAGAUUUUGCAAUAUUUUACUUUAAUUUUUAAUUACACUUCUUUUUCCAACAAAAAAAAAACUUUAUUAAUAUUUUAAUUUAUAUGGAUAGUUUUACCCCUCAAUUUAAUAAUAAAAUUGACAGACUUUGACGGUAGGACCAAUUUGAUACUAAACGGAGAGUUGAAGGACCAUUGAAAUGAAAAUUUUAGUUCAUGGACCAAAAUGAAACUGGAGCAAAAAUUAAAGGACCAUUCCAAUCAAUAACCCUUUUGUUUUUGCCCUAUGGUUUCAGAGUUACCACUAACCGUGAUGAAGCAGGCAUGAGUUCCCGAAUCUUUCGACGUUUGAGUACAAUCCCAUGUAGUAGUUUAAAAUUUUUUUGCCCACGAAGUGAUAAUUUGUUAGCUUUUUCCCAUCUGUGUUCUAUAGCUAUGACCAAUCAAACAGAUAAAGUAUAUAUUCAGCAUAUGCUGCAACUAUUUUCCUGAAUUGAUCAAUACAUUAACAAAAUAUAUAGGCUUAUUUCAUGUGUUGCUAGUACUGAAGGUUGUGUUUUAAGAUUUGAAAUCCAGCAGGAGAAGCCGAAAAAUGGUGAGCAGAUUGUGGCCCUUGAGAAAAUGGGGAAAGAUAUUCAAGGGAAGCCAUUUUGACAGCUAAAAAAUGCCAGAGGAAUGGGAAUUCUGUGGAUAUCAAAAAUUCCCCUUCUUGUAGGGUUCUUGGAUUUCAAUAUAGGAUGGUAAAAUGUCUCUUCAAAUUCUGUCUCUUUGUGGUGUAUCUUUACUAAGAUUCUUCUAGAGUUCACCUUAUCAUUAGAAGAUGGCACCAACACCACAUUGCUUUUACAUGAAUAUGAGCCAAUGAUUACCAAAAACCAAAAAAAAAAACAAAUUUAUAUGAGCAAAUGUAGAAUAAUGUAUGGACAAUUAAUUCAAUCUCAAUUAUGUGGUAUGACAUAAUGGAAAAACUCAUAUUCAUAUAAAGAUGUAGACAAUCCAAUCUCAAUUAUGUUAUGUUAACAAGUAAUUUUUUUGUCCUUAACCAAGUUGACAGAGAAAAAUUAAGGAGUCCCAAAUGCAUUGCUCUUAUACCUCCCUUUGUAACACUGACUCCGGCUCAUGGACGCCAGUCUCCUUAAUCUUAGUGAUUAGGGAUCCAGCAGAAACUUUAUACACAAAGCAGUCUUCAACAAUCAUCCUCUAUACCCUUAAGCCUUCCAGUGAUCCCGUAGCCACGACAACGUCUUCCUGAUGAAUUACACUCGUUAAAUUUAAGAAAAAAAACUCUCACUUCACCUGGAGUCAGUAAAAGAUGUACAAUGUAGAUGAAGGAAGUUGAGGUUCCACCCCAAAAUCAAUUGACAAUGGGGGGAGUAGCCCAACUCUCAGUAGACAUCAUAAGAAGAAAGGAGCACUAUCACUUACAUCAACAACAAGAAUACCACCUGCCACUUCCUCAAAGUCCUGCAUACCCGUUAUAUAUUGGGGAAGGUUAGAAAAACAGAUGGAAGAAGUACUAAGAAGAAAGGAGCAAUAUCACUUACAUCAUCAACAACAUGAAUACCACCUGCCACUUUCUCAAGGUCCUGCAUUCCAGUUAUAUAUUGUGAAUUGAAAAUUAGAGAAACAGCUGGAAGAAGAACUAAAUUAACAUGUACCUUUAUGUACAACAUGGUUUAAAAUUCAAAUCACUUUAUGCGCACCUCCAUAUAGGAACCAUCGGGACCAAAAAGAAGUGUUUUCAGUUCGGAAUGUUGUUCCUGCACAAAAUAUAGAUUAGACCAAAGGCUCAUAUUACUUGCCCAAUGCUCACAUUAAUUCCAAAUUUGAUAAAAAUUAUAAAGAUCAAGCAAAAGCUGUAACACCAUGUUACAGUGCUGAAGUUAAGAAGUACGCCACUUAACGGUGUGCAGUAAGGAAAUAAUACACAGCCGUUUAAUUGUUUUUGCUAGAUGUUUUUCUAACUGUUGGCAAUAUAAUUGGGGUGCAGGCACUUAAAAAACUGGCAGGUUGUAAUGUUGUUCUUGCUGAGGUAAGUGUUACAGUUGCUUUGUGAUUUUGAUGGCUACAUUGCUUGCACAUCUUGUUCUAUCUAAUAUUUUUAAUCUGCAUGUAAACUAUCAGUGGAAGGAGGCAUUAUUUUAGCUAUAGGCCCAUUUGAAGGAUUAAGGUUGAUGAGGACAUUCAUGGAAGACUGCAUUGUUUGCAACGUUUCCCCUCGAACCCUUAUCCGUCGGGUCAGAGAUGUGGAUUGUAUGGCUGUUUACGGUAAUCUGCGUUAUAUCUCUGGUGACGGCUUUGAGUGCAAGGAAUGAUUUUGGAGCCGUUGCCUUCUUUUCUCUGUGAAUUCUGAAUUCUAUAUGGGGUCGAGAGUAGUAUGUCUUGAUCUCUUGGACUACAGGGGUUCAAGAUAUUUGUGAUCACUCAUCGUUGGAUAUAAAUUCAAUGGUUCACUCACUCUUGCACUCCUUUUAAAUAACUUUUUUGAACUACUAGAUUAAUAUCUAACGGUGGGUGACUACAAUCUCUUGGACUCCUGUGGUCCAAGAGAUCGGGACUGUGAACAUUAGUAUUAAACAAUUUCCUCCGUUCAUCAAACAUUAUUUUGGUAUAUAUAGUUACCAACUUUCCAUAUUAUCCUUAUUAUUUUCUUAACAAUACGAUAUUCUAAACUACUCUAAAAUACGGAGAGGGAGAUUUGAGCUCAGGUGCAACUGGGUGGACACAGCUGCUAAUGCGUGUGCUCCUUAUUUUCAAAUCUAUUAUUUGAUUACAGGCCUUCUCAAUCACAAGAAGAAAACAAAGGGACAAUCUUUAGUGACCUUCUUCCUCUUCGGUAUCUCAAUAGACCUUAUUAGUGCCACCAAGAACACCCUUAAGCUUCUUUAUCUGAGGAGCAUCAAGUAAAGUAGUCUGCGCUAUCAAUUCGGUAGCUAAGUCAUUUUUGAAGAGUGCAAAGUCCACAAUCUGCAGACCAGGGCUUGGACUGCUGAAGCUAGGAAAUGCAAUGGCCGGAGUGUCACCUCCAUUCACUUGGAAGUGCAAUAGUCCUUGAGGGAACACGAUAAUGUCACCCUUCUUAAGAGUUUUCAGAUAAGGUGUGUUAUCUGAGGCAACAAACCCGGCAAUUAUUGUCCCUUGGACAACAAGUAAAACUUCUGAAGCUCCGGGGUGAGUGUGAAAGGGGACAACUCCACCCGGACCCAGGUCUAAACGAGCCAGUGAAAUGCCAAGGCCAUUCACACCAGGAAAUUGGGCAGCAAAUGCAGGGGUGACUGCUGCUUUGAAGAUAUUUGUGGUGUUACCAGCAAUGCCUAGGCCUGAGUACACAAAAUCAUUGACGGUAACUAUUGCGGGCUUUUUGCAAGAGUAGCCUGCAGGGCCAUCAGGAGCUUUGUAGUCUGCAACACAGAAGUCUUGCACAGAGGCAUGGGAAGUGGAGAGGAGGAGAAAAAAUGUGAAGAAGAUAGGGAAAAUCAUCUUGGCUGAGUGUAGCAGGUAUUUGUUUAAGCCUUUUUGAGGUGUGCUUCUGUAAAGCAAAUUGGGAUUUACAUAUAUAGCGGGAUAAAGCGAAUAUCUUGAACCACUGCAAUUGGUUGGUACUAGGUAGGAAUUUGCCCAUAUAGGACUCACAUGCAGGGGCGGUGGCAGGGUAGGCAGCCGCCAACUCCAUUUUUUGCCAAACUAAAAAUUACUCAAUACCCAAUACAAUCAAAUUUCUUCUGUUUACUCAAACCCAACCCACCAGGGGCAGUCCUACCCUAAGAGCAGGGUAGGCAGCGGCUACUCCAUUUUUUGCCAAACCAAAAAUUAUCCAAUACCCAAUACAAUCAAAUUUCUUCUGCCUACUCAAACCCAACCCGCUCAAAUUUUUUCCUUUAACAAAAACAAUAGCCUAGCACACUCAAACUUUCUCCUUUAACAAGAACAAUAAAAAGCAAUAUAAGCAUGUGAAAGAUGUGAAAGUUGUAUGAAGAUUUUUUUUUUUUUUAAAAUUACAAAAAAGGUGGUAGGAGUGUCACCUCUUCGAGCCGGGCACGAAUUAUGGGAAAGUUCUCCCCAAGAGGUUCGUUACACAUGCAGAGGAUCGAACUCAGGACCUCAGUGUGGAGCCCGAUCACAUUCGCCCAACAUGUGUGGCCUAGCCCAUUCAAUUUUCCACUAGACCAAACCCACUUGGGUAUGGAGAUAUUUUUCAACGUUGACUAACAUUGUGAAUUUUGUUAGUGCGUCUGCUAAGCGCUGUAAUGAGUUAAAUUUAUUUCGAAAAGCUAAACUCAAAGAGUUGUUAGAUUUUGGGGAACUUGAGACAGAUAGAAGACUUAAUCAAGGUCGUAGUUUGAAACGAGCUGGAGCCGCUCGUUGGGGAUCUCACUUUGCCUCUAUUACAAGUUUGAUGAGUUUAUUUAAAGAGACUAAAAUACUUCUCCAAGAAAUCAGUGAUUAUGGACCUAACCAACAAUUUCAUGGCAAUGCAAAGAGUAACUAUAUUGCUAUGAUGUCUUUUGAGUUUGUGUUUUCAUUGUUUUUGAUUGAUAAAAUAAUGGGAUUGACCAACUUUCUUUGUCAACUGUUUCAGACAAAAACCUAAGAUAUUGCAAGUGCUUUAAACUUUGUUGAAAACACGAAAUCACAGUUCCAAGAUAUGAGGGCACAUGACUGGGAUGAUUUAUUCAUGGGUGUGGUAUCAUUUUGUGAACAACAUGGUAUUAAUGUUCCUGAUAUGAGUUCUCGUUAUAUGAGUCCCUACCAUAAGAAUGAGGAAACCCGCUUCUUUAUUAUAUUUUGUAAAUAUCUCUUCCUUCCCUUCCAAAGAAUAUUUUUCUUAGAAGUCGGCGAAUCGUAAAAGGACUUGUAUAAAAUGAUUGCUAUCUUUCGGCUUUCCACUUACCCGGUUCCCCACGCGGCGAAUGGGUACGUCCGGGGUCGAUCGUAUAGAUUGACGCAAAAUUUUUUUAUUUUAACGAAUCGUGCCGCCGAAGAAACCUCACCCUAACCACAUAAAGCCAAAAAAUUAGCGGUCGUUUUUGUCAAUAAAAAGAUUUUAUUACAGUUGAACAUUACUAUUACAUUAAUGUAUUUAAUGAUGUGAUAGAUUGCAUGGUGAGGGAGUUAAAUGACAGAUUUCUAGAGCAAACAGUUAAACUUUUUAUUUUUAGCUCAGCAUUUGAUCAUCGUAAUUCCUUCAAAUCAAUCAAUAUUGGGCAUCUAUGUAAACUUGCUGAGAAAUUCUAUCAUGCUGAUUUCAGUCCAAGUGACUUGAAAGCUUUAGAAAUUGGGAUGAGGUAUUUCAAAAUGAUAAGCAUCGCCUUCCCCGCUUUAAGGACCUCACCACUCUUCCUCAGUUAUGUCAACAAUUGGUGGAAACAACUUUGGGAGAAAACUACUAUUUGCUUUACAAGUUGAUUUAGUUGGUGUUGACUCUUCAUGUUUCUACAGCAACAAAGAACGAGCUUUUUCAUUUAUGAGAAUUAUUAAGAAUAGACUUUGGAGCACCAUAGCUGAUGAAUUCCUUACUGAUUGCAUGAUUCUCCACAUUGAAAGAGAGUUUGCUCAUAAUAUCGAUAAUGAAGAGAUAAUUGAGGAAUUUAAGAUUUUUAAGCCUUGCAGGGUAAAGUUUUAGAUUUAAAUAGUUUAGUUUUGUGUUGCAUUGCAUUUACUUCUUGUUUUUCUGUUAAGCGUUUAUUUAUAUAUAGAUAUGCAUAUUUGAUGGUAAGGCUCAUUACGUCCCCCCUAACUAGAUGUAUCUUUUUCUUCUUUUUUUUGUGCCCCUAAAGUGAUAAUUUGUUAGCCUUUUCCCAUCUGUGUUCUAUAGCUAUGACCAAUCAAACAGAUGAAGUAUAUAUUCAGCAUAUGCUGCAACUAUUUUCCUGAAUUGAUCAAUACAUUAACAAAAUAUAUAGGCUUAUUUCAUGUGUUGCUAGUACUGAAGGUUGUGUUUUAAGAUUUGAAGUCCAGCAGGAGAAGCCGAAAAAUGGUGAGCAGAUUGUGGUCCUUGAGAAAAUGGGGAAAGAUAUUCCAGGGAAGCCAUUUUGACUGCUAAAAGGUGCCAGAGGACUGGGAAUUCUGUGGAUAUCAGAAAUUCCCCUUCUUGUAGGGUUCUUGGAUUUCAAUAUAGGAUGGUAAAAAGUCUUUACAACUUCUGUCUCUUUCUGGUGUAUCUUUACUAAGAUUCUUCUAGAGUUCACCUUAUCAUCGGAAGAUGGCACCAACACCACAUUGAUUUUACUUGAAUAUGAGCCAAUGAUUACCAAAAAAGAAAAAAGAAAAACAAAUUUGUAUGAGAGCAAAUGUAGAAUAAUGUAUGGACAAUUAAUUCAACCUCAAUUAUGUGUUAUGACAUAAUGGAAAAACUCAUAUUCAUAUAAAGAUAUAGACAAUCUAAUCUCAAUUGUGUUAUGUUAAUAAGUAAUUUUUUCGUCCUUAACCAAGUUGACAGAGAAAAAUUAAGGAGUCCCAAGCGCAUUGCUCUUACACCCGCACCGUGUACACCCGCCUUUGUAACACUUUCCCGGCUCAUGGACGCCCGUCACCUGGAGUCAGUAAAAUAUGUACAAUGUAGACAUCAUAAGAAGAAAGCAGCACUAUCACUUACAUCAACCACAAGAAUACCACCUGCCACUUCCUCAUCCUCAAAGUCCUGCAUACCAGUUAUAUAUUGGGGAAGGUUAGAAAAACAGCUGGAAGAAGUACUAAGAAGAAAGGAGCAAUAUCACUUACAUCAUCAACAAUAUGAAUACCACCCGCCACUUUCUCAAGGUCCUGCAUUCCAGUUAUAUAUUGUGAAUUGAAAAUUAGAGAAACAGCUGGAAGGAGAACUAAAUUAACAUGUACCUUUAUGUACAACAUGGUUUAAAAUUCAAAUCACUUUAUGCACCUCUAUAUAGGAACCAUUGGGACCAAAAAGAAGUGUUUUCAGUUCGGAAUGUUGUUCCUGCACAAAAUAUAGAUUAGACCAAAGGCUCAUAUUACUUGCCUAAUGCUCACAUUAAUUCCAAAUUUGAUAAAAAUUAUGAAGAUCAAGCAAAAUCUUUAACACCAUGUUCCAGUGCUGAAGUUAAGAAGUACGCCACUUAAUUAAUGGUGUGCAGAAAGGAAAUAAUACACAGCUGUUUAAUUGUUUUUGCUAGAUGUUUUUCUAACUGUUGGCAAUAUAAUUGGGGUGCAGGCACUUUAAAAACUGGCAGGUUGUAAUGUUGUUCUUGCUGAGGUAAGUGUUACAGUUGCUUUGUGAUUUUGAUGGCUACAUUGCUUGCACAUCUUGUUCUAUCUAAUAUUUUUAAUUUGCAUGUAAACUAUCAGUGGAAGGAGGCAUUAUUUUAGCUAUAGGCCCAUUUGAAGGAUUAAGGUUGAUGAGGACAUUCAUGGAAGACUGCAUUGUUUGCAACGGUUCCCCUCGAAACCCUUAUCCGUCGGGUUAGAGAUGUGGAUCGUAUGGCUGUUUACGGUAAUCUGCGUUAUAUCUCUGGUGACGGCUUUGAGUGCAAGGAAUGAUUUUGGAGCCGUUGCCUUCUUUUCUCUGUGAAUUCUGAAUUCUAUAUGGGGUCGAGAGUAGUAUUGAACAUUAGUAUAUUAAACAAUUUCCUCCGUUCAUCAAACAUUAUUUUGGUAUAUAUAGUUACCAACUUUCCAUAUUAUCCUUACUUUUUCAAAUUUUUUUCUUAACAAUACGAUAUUCUAAACUACUCUAAAAUACGGGGAGGGAGAUUUGAGCUUAGGUGCAACUGGGUGGACACAGCUGCUAAUGCGUAUGCUCCUUAGUUUCAAAUCUAUUAUUUGAUUAGUUCGGGGUUUUAGAGUAUAUUAUAUCAUUCUUAUUUCUUGAUUGACAAAGCAGGUUAUCUUAAUAAUAUAGAUAUUACAACGAAUCUGGACCUGGAGAUGCAUUGUCAUCUUAAUUAAGAUACAAAUAGAUGGGGCAUUUGCCUUCAACACAAUGAUACUUCUACAAGCAUACAAAAAGCACGAACUAGAGUAAAAUUUUACUGGUAAUGCAGAAACUGCCACUGGGCAAAACAAUCCUAAACUUACAGGCCUUCUCAAUCACAACAAGAAAACAAAGGGACAUGAAAUAAAAGAAAGAUUCAAUCUUUAGUGACCUUCUUCCUCUUCGGUAUCUCAAUAGACCUUAAUUAGUGCCACCAAGAACACCCUUAAGCUUCUUUAUCUGAGCAGCAUCAAGGAAAGUAGUCUGCGCUAUCAAUUCGGUAGGUAAGUCAUUUUUGAAGAGUGCAAAGUCCAGAAUCUGCAGACCAGGGCUUGGACUGCUGAAGCUAGGAAAUGCAAGGGCCGGAGUGCCACCUCCAUUCACUUGGAAGUGCAAUAGUCCUUGAGGGAACACCAUAAUGUCACCCUUCUUAAGAGUUUUCAGAUAAGGUGUGUUAUCUGAGGCAACAAACCCGGCAAUUAUUGUCCCUUGGACAACAAGUAAGACUUCUGAAGCUCCGGGGUGAGUGUGAAAGGGGAUAACUCCACCCGGACCCAGGUCUAAACGAGCCAGUGAAAUGCCAAGGCCAUUCACACCAGGAAAUUGGGCAGCAAAUGCAGGGGUGACUGCUGCUUUGAUGAUAUUUGUGGUGUUACCAGCAAUGCCUAGGCCUGAGUACACAAAAUCAUUGAUGGUAACUUUUGCAGGCUUCUUGCAAGAGUAGCCUGCAGGGCCAUCAGGAGCUUUGUAGUCUGCAACACAGAAGUCUUGCACAGAGGCAUGGGAAGAGGAGAGGAGGAGAAAAAAUGUGAAGAAGAUAGGGAAAAUCAUCUUGGCUGAGUGUAGCAGGUAUUUGUUUAAGCCUUUUUGAGGUGUGCUUCUGUAAAGCAAAUUGGGAUUUACAUAUAUAGCGGGAUAAAGUGAAUAUCUUGAACCAUUGCAAUUGGUUGGUAGGAAUGUGCCCAUGUAGGACUCACAUGUGGAAAGAUGUUAAGCAUACGGCAAACGACAGAUUUCAAGCUAGCUGUGAUGCAUGUGAACAUGAUAUUUUCUUCAUAUAACAACAAGAAGCCUCUUUUUGCUUUUGAAAAUGCAGUAACAGCAAGAUCUUAUUAAGAAAACAACUGACCUACGGUUUCAGAGUUAUCACUAAUUAAUCAUGCUGCAUAUCUAACAAGAGAAUCCAAGGUUUUGUUUUAAGAUUAAAAGUCCUUGAAGGUCUGAAAAAGGCACAACAGAUUGCGGUCCUUGAGGUUUGAGCACAUGGGAGAAAGAUAUUAUGGGGGCAUAAGAAGACAUUUUGACAGCUAAAAGGAGGCAGGAAAAUGGGAAUGUGUGGCUAUGAGAAGUUCCCCUUCUUGCAGGGUGCUUGGAUUUCAUUAUUGAGAACUGUAAAGUCUUCUCAAAUUCUGUCUCUUUGUAUGUCUUAGCUGCAAUAUUCCUCUAGAGUUGAGUCAAUGUAGAAACUUAUAUUACAAAUUACACAUCGUGCCUUGAGCUUCAUGCACGUAAUAUCGAUGCCUCAGUUGAAGUUUCUCACUAAUAUGCUUUAUAGCAGUGGAUUUUCAAAACAAUGCCCCUAUAAGUUAUGCUACGUUCUAUUUACCAACAUUUACUGUCAAUUUUUUUUACGCAGAUUUGGCUUAGAGACAAACGAAAUGUGGCGGUAACUUUUCUCUUUUGGUCAUAAUCUGUGGUUAAUUUGAGUUCAGUUACUUCAUUACUCAGUUGCAGAAUGUAAAAAUGAGAAGGAAUCUUUUCUUUUGCCUAGGUCUAAAAUCCUAUAUUUUGCGUGUGUGGUGUUUAUAGAAGCUUUCAAGAUAAGGUUAUGAGCUUUUAGGAUAACCAUCCGCAGGGUGUAGCCUUCCAUCUUUCACUUUCAGCCAACAAAUACAAAAGCUCCGUACAGAAUUUUGUUUGUGAAGUUGUCCAAAACACUAUGAUAUGUGCCACUGAUUCUAAAUACAAAAAAAUAUAGAUACAAUAGUAUAGAAUGAGUUAUAUAUCAACAGUACAUUAUACAAUUCUGAGUGAAGGAAAAAAGGUACAUAUAAAAUUCUUUGCAUGUAAAGAAUCUGAAGAUCAAGAUUUAAACACAGAAUGUCAUGCUUAAAUAGAAAAAAGGUUAUGAGCAACACCCAGAAACCAAAUCACCAAAAGCUAAAUUCAAAUCAAAAACCAGAAAAGGGAGUUCUGCCCAUUUCUCAUGAACCAAAUCACCAAAAGCUAAAUAUGAACUUAAAUGGAUGAGAUUUGAGGAUUUGAAGGAAUGAGAGAAAAUGAUGGGACAGUCCCUCCAAUAAAGCAUGAGGUUCAUGAAAUUUCAUUACAUUAGAAAAUAAAGCUUCAAAGGGGAAAAUGAUAAAUAAGUUUUUGGUAUUUCCUGUUUGUUCAAAAAAAGAAAAAAAAAAGAAAAAAAAAAGUAGGGAUAGAUUGAAUGGUUGAGGAUGAAUGAGAAGAUUGAGCAUUGUGCAAAUCUUGUUUGCAAUACUGGUUUCCUUAAUUAUGUUAAGUGAAAAGUAAUAUGAAAAUAAAUUAAAUAUCAAUCUCUUUUUGUUAUUUAUUGGACAAUGUGGGUAAAGUCAAAAUGUCAAAAGGAAAAAAAGCUCGUAGAAGAAGAAAAAGUAGGUCCAGUAAAGUGACUAGGCAAUAUCGAAUUAAAUUAAAUAUGUAUAGAAAGAAGAAUGGCAAAAUCUGGCAAUAUAAAAAUGAAAAGGAAGAACAGGAAUGAUAGUAUCCACAGAAAUCUGUCCAUGGGAUCUUAAUUACUGCACCUCCUGGGUUAACAUUCCAAAUGUACCAUCUUUUUCCAAACUGUUGCACGCUGAUUUGAAGGGGAAAAUCCCCAUCCAAUUGUUGUACAUCUUCAGCUGUGUCUGACUUGUGUCUCCUCAUAAAAGAAAAUCUGAGGAAAAGUUAAACAAUUAGAAUACAACAUUAAAACCAGGCAAGCAUCAUGGAUUAGUGGUAAGGAUUAAAGUCAGCAAAUCCAGUCUUAAAACAGGCAUACUAAUUGAGUACUUCUGUCAGUAUAUAUAUGGAAUGGACUCUAAAUUUGACCCAAGGUUGAAGUUGUUUAAGGAAAAGAGACCUCAUUUUAUCAUCUCCUUCAGGUAAUUACCUAAUUCCCUCUGGCCACUUGGGGUUGUGUUAGCUUGAUAUACAUUGCUAAUCCCAUUUCUUGGCAACUUUUUGUUGGAUCUAGUGGUUCCCUUUUGAAAUUAUCCCAAGGGAUAAAUUCCCAAUAGUUUUAAUAGUAAAAUAAAUUUUACAGGUUGUUAUUUUCUGGAUUCUACAUUAACACUUUAAUCAUGCUCCUUUGCAUAUCAAUAACAAAUUAAUCUAAUUAGAAACAUUGGACAUUCUUGACAGAAAUUAUUUACUUACGUACACUAAUCCAAUACUAAUCACCAGGCACUGAGUGAUCAAAAGUGAUGGAAGUACUGCAUUGGAUUGCAUUCAUUCUGUCCAUUUUAGCAACCAUUCACAACCAUAUAGGCCUUGUGGAAGCUUCUACUGACAUAGGUGUUUGCUAUGGAAUGUUAGGAGAUGAGCUCCCUGCUGCUACAGAAGUGGUUAAUCUGUACAAAAAAUAUGGCAUUGGCAAAAUCAGACUUUAAUCCAAAUCCUGCAGCACUCCAAGCACUGAGAGGGAGCAAUAUCGACGUCACUCUAGGCAUCCCGAAUGAAGAAAGCCAAUUUGGCAGGAAGUCAAGGUGCUGUGAACACAUGGUUUGCAGCCAAUGUAGAGCCCUAUGUAAAUGACAUUGUCUUCAAUCACAUUGCUGUUGGCAAUGAGGUCAUUCCUGGUUCCUUGGCCGAGCACAUUUUGCCUGUCAUGAAGUAUCUACAGAACGUCAUAAAUGACAAAAACUUAGAUGGUAUUAAGGUGACCACUGUUUUGUCAGGGACUGCAUUAGCAUCGUCAUAUCCGCCUUCAAAUGGCGCAUUCAAACCAGGGGCAAGCAAUGUUAUGAGUGCCAUUCUUGCAUUUUUAUCGGCACGAGGAUCACCCCUUAUGAUCAAUGUGUAUCCUUACUUUGCCUACUCAUCUGACCCUGCCAAUAUACACUUGAACUACGCUCAAUUCACUGCAACUAGUCUUGUGGUUCAGGACGGGGCCCUGAGCUAUUAUAACCUGUUUGAUGCCACGGUGGAUGCUUUUUUUCGCAGCAAUGGAGAAAGCAGGAGGGGGCGGUGUUGGUGUUGUGGUGUCUGAGAGUGGUUGGCCUUCUGAUGGUAAUGGAGAUUUCACCACUCCAGAACUUGCAAGGACAUAUAACAGGAAUUUCUUGAAGCACAUAACCUCAAAGGCAGGGACACCAAAAAGACCUGGUGCUUACAUUGAGGGGUACAUUUUUGCCAUGUUCAAUGAGAAUCAGAAACCUGAAGGUGUGGAGCAGCAUUUCGGACUUUUUCAUCCUAACAUGCAACCUGUUUAUCCUGUGUUUUAAAUCAAGACACACCAAGUUUCAAGUCAAAUUAUGUAUCUAUAAUGUAAUAAAGACGUGAGUGAUCUUGAAAUUUGGGAUAAACAAUCAAUUCCCAAUAGUAUCUAUGUUGGUAGCAAUACAAAAUUGCUUCACCAUUGUUGGGAAAUUGUGAUCUUCUUGAUGCCUUUUAAUUAUAAUUUCAUGUUGUUUCAUUCUCUUUCUUUAUUUUUGUUUUUUGUUUCAGUCUCUCUCGGAAAAUAGCAGAGCAUUUGGAUUCUGGUAAAAUGAAGUUGGAUUUGAGGAAUCAAAGAAAUGAGAGGAAAGGGUAGGAAGAAAAUGAGGGUAUCUUUGAUUGCCUCCUCACAUGUCGGGUUAUUUAAGCCUAACAUUUUGGGUGAUGUGGGAUGUGGGGCGUGGGACGUUGGGCUCAACACGUGGACAUUAUGCUUUGAUAUCGCAUCAAAAUAUGAGCAUGCAACCCAAAACUAAUCGACAAUGAAUUAGUAAUUCAAUUCCCCGAUAUGGGAGGAUCCUCAAAUAAAUGCAGCAUAAGGUUUCAUGAAGUAUUACAACAUCGAGUUUCGUUAACUUGGUAGUCAAGUAUCAUGCUCGAUAUCAUUUCGCAUAUCAAAUUUAAAGUUCGCCUAGAGCUAGUGAUUUUCUUUUUGACACUAGAAAUCCGAUUUUUUUUUUAAUAGAAUCGUUUACUAAAGAAAAUCAAAUCAUUAUAAGCGGUGUAAUUUAAGCCUGAACCAAUAUUUUCAUUUAUUAAAGAAAUCACAGAAGAAGAUACUCUUGCACUCCAGAAUCAAUAUUUUUAUCAUUAUCAAAGUAAUAUCUACCUGUAAAUUCCUCAAGUUUGUCUGGAUUCAUUGUAUCUGCUAGCUGUUCAUAGCUUUGCACUUGUUUUAGGGAUUUAAUUACUGCCAUAAAAUACUUAAUUUUAAGGAUUUAAUUACUGCAGUAAAUUGCUUAAGUAAAUGCAUUUACUUGCUAUUAUUGGCCAACUCUUGUAAAUAUAAAAUCUCCCCUCUAUGAGAUGAAUAAUUCUCAGAAAAUUCACAGCCUUUUCGGACCGACUGCUAGCUUCUUUUAAGGUACGGGUCAUGCUAGGGAGACCAACUUUAGAUACCAACUUGUGUACCAACUCUCUAAUAGAGGUGGAGCCCACCAAUACAAUGGGGUCCCACACUCUAUUAAAAGAGUUGGUACACAAGUUGGUAUCUAAAGUUGGUCUCCCUAGCAUUUUCCUUAAGGUACAUACUGCUAGCUCCAAACUUUUUGCCUUUUUCUUUUUUUUCUUUUUUUUGUCACUCGUUAAUUUAUUUAUGUAUACUACUGCAGGUGUAAAUAUUAGCAGGCACUCCGUAAGCAGAAAGUGAUGGCAGCAGUGCCUUGGGUUGCACUCUUUCUGUCCUUUGCAGCAACCAUCCACAACCAUAUAGGCCUUGUGGAAGCUUCAGUUGACAUAGGUGUUUGCUAUGGAAUGUUAGGAGAUGACCUCCCUGCUGCUACAGAAGUGGUUAAUCUGUACAAAAUAAACGGUAUCGGCAAGAUGAGGCUCUUUGAUCCUAAUCCGGCCGCACUCGAAGCACUGAGAGGGAAAGAAAUUGAUGUCAGUCUAGGCAUUCGAAACGAAGACUUGCCCCAAUUGACAGGAAGUGCAGAUGCUGUGAACUCAUGGUUUGCAACCAAUGUAGAGCCCUACCUGAAUGACAUUGUCUUCAAUUACAUUUCUGUUGGCAAUGAGGUUAUUCCAGGGUCCUUAGGCAUCUAUGUUUUGCCUGUAAUGCAGUCUCUACAGAAAAUUCUCGAUGAUAGAAACUUGGCUGGUAUUAAGGUGUCCACAGUUGUGCCAGGGUCUGCCUUAGGAGUUUCAUUUCCACCUUCAAGUGGCGAGUUCGCACUAGAGGCAAGCAGUGUCAUGAGUGGCAUUGUUGCAUUUUUAGCACAGCGAGGAUCACCCCUUCUGAUCAAUGUGUAUCCCUACUUUUCUUAUGCAUCAGACCCUGUCAAUAUUCGCUUAGACUAUGCUCAAUUUACCGCAACAAGUCCAGUGGUUAAGGAUGGGGAGUUGAGCUAUUAUAACCUGUUUGAUGCCGCAGUUGAUUCUUUUCUGGCAGCAAUGGAAAAAGUAGGCGGGGCAAAUGUCGAUGUGGUGGUGUCUGAGAGUGGUUGGCCUUCUGAUGGGAAUGGAAAUUUCACCACUCCAGAACUUGCAGGGACAUAUAACAGGAACUUCUUGAAACAUAUAACCUCAAACGCUGGGACACCGAAAAGACCUGGUGCUUACAUUGAGGGGUACAUUUUUGCCAUGUUCAAUGAGAAUCAGAAACCUGAAGGUGUGGAGCAGCAUUUCGGACUUUUUCAUCCUAACAUGCAACCUGUUUAUUCUAUAUAUUAAAGAUCCAAGACCAAGCACAUCAGCUAUCUUAGCCUAGUGGUAGUUUUCUUCCCAACAUCGAAUUAGGUCUAAAGUUCGAAUUCCCUCCCUACUCCCUCCCAUCAACUUAGUAUAGUGGUAGUUCUCUUCCCAACAUAGUAUUAGGUCCCAAGUUCAAAUUAUUUUCCCAUUCAUGACAAAUCAUGUAUCGAUAACAUAUCAAUAAAGAGUUAAUUAUGCAUUCAAACAUCUGAAAUCUCUGUGUUUUUUUUUUCUUGUGAGUUAUCUGAUCUUGUAUUUUUGAACAUUACAACAUUGACUAUUUAAGGUUUGGGUUGGUUUAUACACAGUAACCAAAUUAUAUUAUCCUGCUCACUUGAAUGGCUUUGAAAUGAUCUCUGUUCUUUUCUUUUUUAUUUAUCUCUGAACAAGUAAUUUAUUUUUUUAAACCGGGUAAUACAAUAUCCACAAAGAACAAGAAAAGUUUCAAAACCAAGAGAGUGGUUCCCCUUUCCCAGUUGCUUUGCUCUGAAAAGGGUAGUUUGUAUUGUAUGUACCCAACAACAGGUUCUUGGGUGUAGAAAGUCUUCCUGUUGUACUUGGUCAAGGGUGCAUUAAGCUUAAAUCUCAAAACCCAGUCAAGGUUUGAGAUAAAAAGGUGACCAUACGACACUAAAAGCAUCCCAGCAACAAACAUACCCUGUUAAGCUUUUCUUAAAGUCCUAUCUACCAUGAAACCUGUUUAUCCUUUAUUUUAAGACCAGGAGUCCAAGACAGGACAGGUUUCAUGGGAAUUCAUGAGUUCAUGCAGAAAACCAAAGCUUCAUAAGGGAAAAUGGACAACUAAACUUUUGCACCUUCUGUUUGUUCACAACAUUUCCUUAUGGAGAAAAAAAUAUAAAAGGAAUGGUACAAUGAAUAACAUGCAUCCACAGAAAAUUUUCCAUUGGAUUGUCUUAGUUAAUUUGUGCACCUACAUAGAACACAGGUUAGCAUUCUAAAUCAUUCCAAAUUUGCUCUUUUCCAAAAAAGUUCAUACUUAUCUUAACCUCUACUUAAUAUAUAAUGCCAGAUACGUAAACAAAACCUCAUGUAGAUGCUGUAGUUCACCUGUGUAUUGUCUCUCAAUUAGGACAGAACACCUAAAGCCAGACAAGCUUCAUGGACGUAGACAGUAAGAAAACUCCAAGCCAGAAAAUCCAGUCUCAAAAGAGGCACAUUAGUUGAACCUUGUACUUGUUACAUAACACAUUGUUGGUAUAUAUAUAGGAGUGGACACUUAGCAAAUACUCAAGUUAGUUAAGGUAGACAGACUCCAAUUUUCGUUAUCUGGAUCAGGAAAUCUAAUCCUUCCUGCAGCAACCGGUGUGCACCAUAAAGCCGAUCAGUGUUCCUUGAGGUAGUAUCUUCAUGCUAGCUCCACACGUUUUGCUUUCUUGUGUGUCAAACAUUAAUUUAUUAAGUGCACUUAUGCAGGUUUAACAGGCACUCAGCAAUCAGAAAGUGAUGGCAGUACUGCAUUGGGUUGCAAUCAUUUUGUCCUUCGUAGCAGCUAGUCACAACCGUAUAGGCCUUGUGGAAGCUUCAAUUGACAUAGGUGUUUGCUAUGGAAUGUUAGGGAAUGACCUGCCUUCUCCAACACAAGUGGUAAAUCUCUACAAAACAUAUGGUAUUGGAAAGAUGAGGCUCUUUGAUCCUAACCCAGAAGCACUCCAAGCACUCAGAGGAAGCCAAAUUGAUGUCAGUAUAGGCAUUCGAAAUGAAGACUUACCCAGUUUGGCAGUUAGUCAAGAUGCUGUAAACUCAUGGUUUGCAACCCACGUAGAGCCUUACCUUAAUGACAUUGUCUUCAAUCACAUUACGGUUGGCAAUGAGAUUAUUCCCGGGUCCUCAGGCAACUAUGUUCUGCCUGUAAUGCAGUAUCUACAGAAGAUUCUCGACGAUAGAAGCUUGGCUGGUAUUAAGGUGACUACUGUUGUCUCAGGGGCUGCCUUAGGAGUUUCAUAUCCACCUUCAAGUGGUGCAUUCACACUAGAGGCCAGCAGUACCAUGAGUGGCAUUCUUCCGCUUUUAGCACAACGAGGAUCACCCCUUAUGAUCAAUGUGUAUCCUUACUUUGCCUACGCAUCAGAUCCUGUCAAUGUUCACUUAGACUAUGCUCAAUUUACUGCAACAAGUCCUGUGGUUCAAGAUGGGACGUUGAGCUAUUAUAACUUGUUUGAUGCCACAGUUGAUGCUUUUAUUGCAGCAAUGGAGAAAGUAGGCGGAGCUAACGUCGAUGUGGUGGUGUCUGAGAGUGGUUGGCCUUCUGAUGGGAAUGGAGAUUUCACUACUCCAGAACUUGCAGGGACAUAUAACAGGAAUUUAUUGAAGCAGGUAACCUCAAGGGCAGGGACACCAAAAAGACCUGGUGCUUACAUUGAAGCCUACAUUUUUGCCAUGUUCAAUGAGAAUCAAAAACCUGAUGGUGUGGAGCAACAUUUUGGGCUUUUUCAUCCUAACAUGAAACCUGUUUAUCCUGUAUUUUAAAGAUUCAGAACAAAAUAUCCUUCAUGUAUUAAUAAAGAUAUAGUUACACAAACAUCUCUAACAUUUUUUUGUGAGUUUUCCACUUGAUUUGAACUCUACAUCUGAAAAUUACAACACUGAGAAUUUAAGGUUUGGGUUUUGGUUUACAAAGCAAUAAGCAGAUAAAACUACCUCAGAAUCAUGUCGCGUAAAAUCAUGAAACCAAAUUUAACUACAUUAUUUAUACCAAAUAAUACAAUAUCCAAAAGGUAAAAGUACCAUUUCCAAAACACAAAAAUCAGAGGCGGGAGAGUGGUUCCUCUUUCCCAUUUGCAUUGCUCAGAAAAGGGUAGUCUGUGUACCCAACAACAGGGUCUUGCGUGUAGAAAGUCUUCCUGUUAUACCUGGUCAAAGGUGCAUUAAGCUUCAAUCUCAAAACCAAGUCGGGGUUCGAGAUAAAAAGGCGACCAUAAGACACUAAAUCAGCAUCCCUAGAAGCCACAGCAUGAAUUCCAAGCUCCCUAGUGUACCCACCACUAGCAACAAAUGUACCACGAUAAGCAUUUCUUAAAGUCCUCAUAAACACAGCUUCCUCUUCAUCACUGCCAGGUUUGCCAGAUUCGGUUUGGCCAUAUGCUGCGUAACGGGGCUGAGUAACAUGGAGAUAAGUGAGUUUUGAGCCCCAGUCUUGUUGAAGCUUGUUGAGCCUUUCAAUCACUCCAAGGCCUAGGGUAAGUGGAGCAGAGUCAACUGCAUCAAGGUGAUCAAUGGCUGGUGAGAUUCUGACACCAACCCUAUCAGCACCUACGGCUCCAACUACUGCUUGAACCACCUGAAGCAAGAAUUUGCAACGGUUUGCAAGUGAUCCGCCAUACUCAUCUGUUCGAUCAUUGAUCCCAUCUUUCAAGAAUUGAUCAAUGAGGUAGCCAUGUGCCCCAUGAAUCUCAAUUCCAUCAAAACCUACACAUCAUAAGAUUCAAAAUUAAAGCUUACUAGUAAGCACAAAGGUGACAUGCGCUUGACAAAAUCAUUGUAUGAAUUGAGAGAAACCGACCUGCUCUAAUGGCAUUCAAGGCAGCCUGUCGAUAAUGCUCCACCACUUGGAGGAUUUCAGGGGUUUCUAAGCGUCUAGGCUUAGGGUAAGUGGCAUGAGACGCAUCCGGUAAUAGAAUUCUCCACCUCCUCGAAAUGGGAACAUCGGUUGAAGAUAUUGGUGAACCCCCACCAGGUUGGUAAACUACAUCAAUUGACAAAUUACAAGUAAAAAUGGUCACUGAAAUGCUCCAAGCUUUAGACAAAAACUACCAUAAGAAUUGCCAAAUAAAGGACUAGGGUAGUUACCUUCAUGAGAAGCACGACCUACAUGCCAAAGUUGACAGAAAAUAAUGGCACCUUUGGCGUGAACGGCAUCCACCACCUUCUUCCAUGCCUCCACCUGUUCAUCAUUGUAAAUCCCAGGAACAUGUGGAAACCUGCAUCCACCUUAACAUUUAGUAUCACUUUGUAAAAUUCCCACUUCAAAUAACUUUAAGCUAUCUAGCAUAGCAUGUUACGUUGUCGGAUUGUAAAUCAAGUAAAAUAAUAGACCCGUCCGAUUAACUAACAGCCUUAAUUUAUAAUUUGAUAAGUAAAAUCCAGUAAAUUAUAAACAUUGAUUACUUAUGGAUGAGCAAUUAUAGGAAACUAGUUCUAUCUAGUCAAUAUUUGCAAGCAAACAAUUUCUAGUUCUAGUUUACAAGUCAAAGUCAACAUUAUGGACCAAAGUUCUUAGACGAAAAGCUCCUUAAGCCCAAUAGGUCCGAACUACACAAAGUGGGGCCCAACUUGGCAAAGCUUGCUAAUCAUUGAUGAAUACGAAAGAGACACUUAGCAAACAACAAAAAUUACAAAAUUACCCGGCGCCAGUGUCGGAGACCAAAGUGCCUUCGGUGAUCAGAAAGCCGCCGUUGGUUGACCUUUGAGUGUAGUACUCGGCCAGCGCCGGCUGCGGCAAGCCGUUCAACGCUCGGCACCUCGUCAUCGGCGCAAGCACCACCCUGCCAAGGUCAAAUCCGUCAAAACACACCCCAAAGCCAAACAAUUAAAUGAUAAUUAUGCCCUCCCGGAUUUCUCCCCGCUUUUUUCAAAUUCCCGAGGAAAUCGGAAACACCAAGUGGGACCAGAGUUUCAUGUCCGAUGAAAGAAAAAGAGGAGCAGCUAACUCGACUCGAUGCAGCCGCGAAACACUGGAUCAGGUAUGACUGACCUGUGAGACAGAUUGAACUUGCCCAUCUUGAACGGAGAAAAGAGAGUGGGUCCCUGAGAUGAAGCCUCCGCCAUUUUUAGUUCAGACACCGAUCUCAGAUCAAACGAUCGAAAGGCCAGAAAUGAAGUGAGAUCAAAGAAGAAUAAAAGGAGAGAGCUUUUAUAGGAGGAAGCAGUGGCGAUCGGCUCGGCUAUCAAGGGCCGUCUGCGAUCCGACGGCUGUGGUCGGUUUCUGAAGUGUCACCGUGCUAUGAUGCUUUGGCUGCUCUUGUUAGUGGGAUUUUAAUGGUGGUGGUCGGCAACUGUGGGCGGGACCCACAGAGGGAUGUUUCCAUUGCAACGGCAAUGAGAUUCACGUGCGGAUUUAUUUAUGGCCGGUGUCGUUUUGGUUUCUAACUUGGAAUGUUUAAGACGUGUUUGACCGUCGAGCGUUGACUGGACUCGGGUGUUGACGAUGCUGUAGUCUAGUCGGGUCGGGCACCGGCAGGAGAUUGAGUUGGGUUUUGAUUUUGAUAUUGGGCCAGUUACGCUCAUUAUGUCGAAUUUUUAAUGCAUGAGGGGCCUCUUUGGAAAUUGAGAGGCCUGGCCCACUAUUUUAUUCUUGUUGCAAUUGAAACCCCCAAAAUAAAAAUGCCAAAAAUGAGAUGACCAUUAAAAAUAGAAACCCUUGUUGUUUUCUUUUGUAAUGUUAUGUUGUUUAAGAGCACUGGCAGCGCAAGACCCAACCCGGGUAGAAGGGCCCCCAGGCGAGCCCAACACAGCUCCAGCGCGAGGAAGAGAGCCCAGGCAGCUGCUGGGUCCCACGAGCCCGGGCAGGCCCAAAGGCAACUUUAGCCUGGGCUUCAGCCCGAGUUGGAUGACGUCAUGCUGACGUCAUCCCUGACAGCAACCAACUGUAACAAGCCACGUGUCGCGCCAGGGACGCUCCGAUGGAUUUUUUUCCAGAAAUCCGACGGUCCUCGUUUUUUUUGCUAAAAAAAUUGCAAAAAAAUUCUGAAAAAUUCUGAAAUUUUUUUUAAAAAAUACCAAAAAAUUAUGUAUUUUUUCCCUAUAAAUACCUAACCAUUUUAUUUACUUUCCACACAAAAUCUUCAUACAAUUCUUCUCCAUCCCCAAUAUUUUUUACUCUCCACUCACAUUAUUCACUUUCCUCACCAAUUCUCCACACAAACUAUUCUCCUUCCAAUAUUUCUUACUCUUCACUCACAUUUUUCACUUCCCACACCAAUUCUCCAUACAAACUCUUCUCCUUCCAAUAUUUUUUAUCCUCCACUCACAUUUUUCUACUACUUUCCAUUUGUAAAAAGAAAAAAAAAAUCUUAUCUGAAAUAUGAGAUUAUAAUUUUUUUAAAAUAUCUGAAAAUCUUAUCUGACAUGGGACACGUGGUACAAUUUUAGAGGGUGAAAAUGUUAUAUGAAAUCUGAGAUUAUAAUUUUUUUUAAUGAAUAUCUGAAAAUUUUAUCUGGAAUAAGACACGUGGCAAUCGAGAUUCUCAUCCGAAAAUCUUUUCUUAAAACAAUGGACACGUGACAACCAAAAAUAUUAUCCGAAAAUUUAAUUACAAAAGAUUAUCAAAAUUAAUGGUUUAAAGUAUUAAAAAAAUAGGAAAUAAAGUACAAUGAAUAGUAUUUGCCCUAGACUUAGCCCUCAUGGGUGGAACCACAAAUGGCAAGGCUGCCACUAUUCAUGUGAAUAGUGACAGCCCUUGCUUGCCCUUGCCUUAGACUUUGCCCUUAGGGGUGGAGUUGCUCUAAGAGGUGGGAAAUAUUUUCAUCAACAAUUUUUGUAUCCGUCCGGCGCAGUGUGUCCGACACUAAUACAUAACACGAAUUCGACACUAGCAGAACAUAUUUUGUUGAUUAUAAAAAAAUAUAACAUGAAACAAAAUAUAUUGAUAUUGAUAUUUAAUUGAUGCGAUUGCGGUCUGAAUCUGGGACAAGGAUAAGCGUGUAAGCAAUGACUUUUCUUUUUCUUCUGGAUAAAAAUCUACAAUAUCAUUAUCAGUUAUCAUGAUGUAAAAAGAUUGGUAUCCUAUCCAUCCAUCCAUCCAUCCGCUAGAGAGAGACUCCCAAGAGUUGCAAAGGAAGACUGGUUUGAUUAUUUGUGGCCCCGAAGUCAGCAGCGAGCAGUUUGCCCUUUUGGGAAGAUGUACAUGCAUGGGAUGAAAAGUCAUAAAUAAACAGCACACCUCUGUGAUUUGACUGUUAAAUUCAAUUUCCAUUAUAAAUUAAAUAAAUAAAUUCAAUUGGGAUUCAAAGUCAAUUAAGAUUGGAUCCAAGACUUGCACAAAAAUUGAUAUGAGUAUAUUAUUGAAAAACUCCAUCCUUCUAGAUUUUUUUAUUUUUUAUUUAUUUUUUAUUUUUUCUUUUGAGUCAGUCUUUAUGUUCGAAUCUCUAUUGACAGUGUAGAUGAGAAAAUCUUUUUCUCCAAUAUCACUUAUAUAUAUGUAUAUAAUAUAAAAAACUCAUAAUUAUGGUUGGUUAGAUUCUGUCUUGCAUAGAUCAAUCUCUAUCCCAUAUUUAUGGUAAAGCUAUUUUCAUUCACAUGCACUCCUCAAUGGACAAAUCAUAAUAAUUUGCUUUCUUGCAAAUUUGGUUUGUCUCUAUUUUGCUAUGGUGUUGUUGGUAGGUGCAAUUAAGAAUGUUGAAAGCUUAAAACAGAUAAAAAUGGCUAAGGUACAACCCACAGUGUUUUGUUGCCCUAGCAAUGAUGUAGUCAUGUUGGUGAUCAGACUUGGAGCUAUCUCAAACUGAAGUGGUGUGUGGUCCCCACUCCUACAACAUGAGUAGGAAGGGAACAACUUUGUCACACCCUCAUCAUACCACACACAUCCAUGUCCAACUCUCUAAAUCAUGAAAAAUAAAAAAGGAAAUACAAAAAAUACCAACAAAAAAAAUUAUGAGUUAAAAUAUAAAUACCCUUUGAGUGAAAAGAAAAAAACCCAUUGAGCCACGUGUCCCGGUACCACUGUAUGCGGUGCAAGCGUCUACACCUCACCAACCCCCCGCUACGUCCCAAAAAUCUCCACUGAAGAAUGGCGCAGUGCGCGCCGUGUGUACCAGAUAGAGAGGGCAACGCCGCUUGUAAAUAUAUUAUUAUUAUUAUAAAAAAAAAAACUACGAAAAUUCGACAAAAUAAAUAUAAAAUUAGGAGCAAGGCGGGGCCCAGUGGGAUGCACUGCAUAGGAUGCCCAUCGUACAUCUGUUACCAAACAGGCAGAAAAAAGGGUACUCUUUUGUGAGUCCAAUUUUUCUGUUUCUAAUUUCCAUGUGCACUCCAUGUUUCCUAUCUUAUGUUUUUUUACACCAAUCUCUCCACUAAUUUCUAACUUCAACACUGUUAACUUAAAUUAAAAAAACAAAAAUUAAACAGCCGCCACCGCCCCCCACCCAUCCAACAUGGUCAGCCAUCCACCCCAUCGGCGCCAAGAAGGAGAUGAGAAGAGAUGUGAGAGGAGAGGGGUUGCCGAUGGUGGGGUUGGGUAGGGGCUGUGGUGGCUGUUGGGUGUUUAUUUUUCCUUUAAUAAUUAACUUUUAUUUUGUUAAUUUUAUUUAAAGUUAGAAGUUAAUGAGUGACAAGUGUCAAAAAAUUAGAUGAAAAACAGGAUGGCACAAGGAAAUUGAAAUAGAAAAAAAUUGACCAGAAUAGUAAAACAGUGCUAUCCCUUUUUACGCAUGUUUCUCCAAACAGACCUGUAAAUAAUCCGGAAUAAGAAAAAGUUCACACCGUUACGCGCAAAAACACAAACCAAGCAAACAAGGAAAAAAGCAACUGCCGUUACUCUGACCGUCCCUCGUUUUUCUUCUUCGCAGCUUUUUUUAUUCUUUUUUCGACGCACAUGAGGCCUCUCUAUAUAGAGAUAUAUAUAUAUAUAUAUAGUUAAAUGAUUUAUUUUCUAAGUUUUGGUUCGUAAUUUCAUUUAAUUUUUGGUCCGGAAACUCUUCGCAAUUAAACUAAUUGAUUAAAGUUUAAAGCGGAUUAAUUUAUCACCAUCAUCCUCGCUCUCUUCUCCAUUUCGUUUCUUUGAGGAGAAGCAGAAGAACGAAAGCUUUGUUAUGGCCGCCGGAGAUUUCUCUCUCUGAAAUUCUUUCUUGAAUUUUAAGGGAAUUCAGAGGUGGGUUUAUAGUUUUGUAUUUCUCUGAGUUUAUUGUGUGCCAUGUUCGAUUUUCUAUAUUCUAAAGUUGCAAUCUUUUCCUUUUUCAUCCUGAUAAUAAAUUUUCAAUUUUACAAUAAAUAAUUGGUCUGCUAUGCUUGAAUUGUAUGGUAUCUUGUUGAACAUCAUCCAAUAUAGCAAGCAAAAAGUGAAAUUUGUUCUCUUUCUCUCUUAUAUCUGGGGGUUCAGGGAGCUUGUGUAACUGAAACAGCUGGAUAUAAGAAAGUUAACUGAUCAAUUUUAAGACAAAAAGAAUAACGUUUAAAGUCUUUAGCUUUUGAGUUAACAUCUAGCUCAAGAUUAUUAAUCUUUUGUUUCAAAUUGUUGGAAAAUCAUAUAUCUUUGUCUAUGUUUAUAUGUUCAUGUGUUGGAAAUUCUUGUAGAGUUCAGGAAUACUUGUAAAGUUAAAAGCAUGGUUGCAGUGAACAUCAAAGGUUCAAGAUUUAAGUAGGAAUAGCAUGAAAUUAAUUGUUCCAGAGUUCCUGCUUUGAAUUAUAAAGUAUCCCUGCUCUAUGUGUUCACAGUUUCCUGUGUUAAUUGUACUUGUAGCGGGACAGUCUUGAUAAUUAGAAAUAUCAAUGGUUUUGCUAAUGACUUGUAUUGUUGAAGCUUUGAAUCUUUGUUAAUGUUGAAUUUUUUGAUAGGAGGGAAGCCUUUUUGUAUGGAUAAAGAAGAAGAAACUGGUAGCCCUAGUUGGGGUGCUUCGUUUUUCGCACAAACGGAAGAUGUUGCUAGAGCAGUUGCUGCUGUAGCAGCCGCUGCUACUGCCACUCAUUCUCCGAGGCCAUCUGUUGUAUAUUCAUCAAACGAUGAUGGUGGUAAUAGCCCACUUAAAAGACUACAACGCCAUGUUACAAAUGUGCUAAAAGGUUUCUCACAUCCUCCUGAAGUGAAACGUGGAACCUACAAUCCAGAAGUUUUGACUAGCCAGAAGCGCCAAUGGGCAAGCUUUCAGUUGCAGUACUUGGUAUGCAAUUUUGUUAAUUGGUUGCUUAUUUUAUUUCUUAUUUGUGUAUGCAAUUCAGAAAUUGAUUAAUCAAGAAUCAAAGAUGAUUUUUUGUUUUAUUUUUCUUGUUUACAUUGGAACAUCUUUCACGUUCAACAGCUAUACAGCUAUUUCUAAUUACAGUUGUUACUUCAUAUUUUUCUUUUAAAAUUUUUAGAAUAGAACAAUUUAAGGAAAAAUGACAAUUAUAUAUGCUCGCUGUGAGUUUAAGGGUCAUAUGAUACCCUGAGACAUUUUUGUCUGAUAGUUCAGCGGUCAUAUGAUAACCUGAGACAUUUCUUCUUAAAAGUUCAGGGUUUCUGUAUUGUUAGUUUUGAAAUACAUUCACAUAUGAAACAAAAAUUUCAUCCAAAGAGAUUCUGUAACACCUCUGCUAUUUAAGUGUGCAGGAUCAUAGGUCUUUAAAGCUGCCGACAAGGCUUUUCGAGAGCAUGGUUGUUUUGGGGCUUCACCCAAAUUGUGAUGUUCAGGCACUUCAAAGGCAAUAUAUUGCAAGAAAGCAUGAGGGUUUAGGAAGAUUGCGCAGUUCACGUAGUAGUCAGAAUUUCUCUCGUGUGGAACCCAAUCUUGAACCUCAGGUGGGGAUUCUUGUUGCCAAAUAUUCAAUUUGUUUGCAUAUUGACGCUUGCAAGCAAUUUGAGUAGUGGGUAUUAAUAUUCAUUUCUACUUCCAGGUGUUAUUUGUUUAUCCUCCGGAAAAGCAGGUGCCUCUACAAUACAAGGAUCUCCUUUCAUUUUGCUUCCCUGGAGGCGUAGAGGUAAGGUGUUCUCUUGAUGGAUGUUUUGCCACUUGUUCUGUUUAAUUGAUCAGUUUAAUUUUAGGGAUUUAAGAUGGAUGAGCUUUUUCUUUUUUUCUCCUUAAAUCUAUUUAAGAGGAACUCCUUUUGUAAAGCUUAGGUUACAGAGAAUGAUUAUAUAACUUAGCUUGAUCUCGAUGGUAAUAUUUACAAGGGUAAAAUACCUGAGCCUUUAAAUAUUGGAGAUGUUUACCUGAUAGGUUUGAAUGUAUUGUGUUAAUGUCUGUAUUUGAGAAGAAUUUCAGAUAACAAAUAAUUGAUAUUCUGAAUUAGUAUGCUUAUAUUGCUAAGGUUUUCGCAGCUUUUAUAUGGAGAACUUCUUCCGUUUAAGGAAAGUGGGGCCAGUUGUGUAAAUAUCAUAGUGCAAUAGCAACUUGAGUUUAGCCUGAUUUCUUGAUCUUCAGUUAAAUAAUAUCAUAGGCAAUAAAAGAGACGUUAUAUCAAGUUUUACUUGAUUAUGACUAGUACUUGGUGAGAGAUGUUAUUUUUGUCCUAUGUGCAGAUAUUGAUUUGUCUUGUUAAUAUUGUGUAUUUGUUAGUUAAGAUCUAGUUAGUCAUUAUGUGCUAAUAUUAACACCUUGGAUGUGAAUGGCUUCAGGUUCAUGCUGUUGAGAGAACUCCUUCUAUGAGUGAGUUGAAUGAAAUUCUUUUGGGGCAGGUAUAGUGCUACAUUAUGCUCCCAUAAUGUUGUCGAUUAAUGAUUAUGGACACUUAUAUUGACUAUGAUGAUGCUUAUUUGCAGGAGCAUUUUAAACGGACCGAUCUGUCCUUUGUAUUCCGGUUACAGGUAAAUUAUAGCAUGUUAUGUCUCCAGGAUUCCUUUUUCCUUGGAUUUUCCCCUGAUAUGUUUCAAGAUUUCUUUAUAACUUUAAUUCCCUGUGGCAGUUUCCAUUUGACUUAUAAACCCCUACACUAGUAGUGCUGGAUGAUAGAAUCAUCACUGCAGCCUGAAAAUUAUAAUUCAAACAACUUUUUGUCUAGUUGACUGCAAUUAUUAUUUGAGUUGUAUUUGUUCCCACAGAGAAGAAGAUUGGUAACAAAAUGCGAAGCAAAUUUAAGAGGAUUGAUUGUCUUCGUUAUCUUUGAUUAGAUUUAUAUAUGUUUAAAAUGUCAUUAAAAUUAACAGAUGUUAGGUAAGCCUAUUUCUACUUCAUGUGUAUGAACAGUUUAAUUUUUAGUUGUGAAUUAUGCUCAUUUCCUGGAUGACCCAUUUUGUACAAUAUUGGUUUGAAGGUUGCUGAUGACUCAACAUUGUAUGGAUGCUGCGUGUUAGUGGAGGAGCUAGUGCAAAAACCUUCUGGAUUGCUUUCCAUGAUAGCAGAGAAACAUCCUUCUCGCCCAUCUUUGAGUCGCCAUAUAUUAACCACUAAGAGAUGCUAUUGCAUUCUCUCAAGGGUUCCCUCAUUUGAAUUACAUUUUGGUGUAUUGAAUAGGUGUGUUUAUGUCAUAUUGAAUGCUUAUAAAAAACAUAUUUAUCUCAGUGAUUUGCGUUUUUCAUUUUAACUUUGAAAUGUAUUCUAAUCCCCUCUAGACUUUCGUAUAAUUAAUGUGUUCCUCUGCUAUCUAAUCAUGCAUGAAGUUGAAGAUCGUAUUAUUAAAUUGUCUGAGAAAAAAAAAAAAAAGAGAUUCAUUUCUUAGUUCAGUGAGAAAAAAGAAAUUGUAGCAACUUCAAUAGAACACAUAAAAGCUUUUAACUACCAGUUUAUCACAAGAUCCAAAUUUAUUGAGCGACUGGUGCAUGGUUUUGUGUGAGGGGAAUGUGUAUGCUCCACUGUUUGGCCCCAUAAUUUGACAUUCUUCUUUUACUAUUUGAUACCAACAUAUAACUUUGCAAUUCAUCUGUUGCUCAACUUGACUAUGUUUGCUAUUCCCCUGUAGCAUCUUCACAGAAGAAAGGUUGGAACGAUUAACGAAAGGUAUUGAUCUUUUAGAUUUAGAAACCCCAAAGGAUUAUGGCAAUGGCGAAAUUUUAGAAGAAAAUACAGAAGAAACUUCACACAGCGUAUCACUAAGUAGUAGAACUGAGGAGAACAUGGUGAAUAGAACAGCAGAGUUUUCUCAAUCAAGUUUAAAAGAUUCUUCAUUUGGGAGAGUUGCAGAUAAUGGCAUUCACCUAGAGAAUCAAAUGCUUGAUGGGGAUUUUAACUUGUUGAAGGGAAGGGUGAUUGAAAACGUUGUUGUUCCAAUUGAUCCUGAAACCAAGACGGCCAGUUCCAAGAGAGAAUCUGAUGUUGCAAAUGCUGAAGUUUCUGAGGUCUAUGUUGAUGAUUUCUCUGCAAACAAGCAAACUGUAGAAAGGCGAUUACCAAACGCUGUUCUACCUCUCCUGCGUUAUUAUCAGUAUGAAAGCUCUGAAUCUUCCUCCAGGUAGAUCAUUGUUGUUCUUUGGUGCCUUUUCACUUGUAUUUCAUGCUUUUUAUUACUUGCAUUAGUAGUUAUUAUCUUUUCUCUCUCUCACUAAUUCUUGGAGCAGAGAAUUGCACUUUUUUCUUUGAGCUACUUCAAGUUGCUGCACUCAUGCCAUUUAUUAGUGUUUUAUGCAGUUUUCAGGGCUCUCCCAGCGAGGACAGAAAUUUUAGGAGUGAUGUUGAUGAUACAGAGACGGAAGAGGCAUCUUUCUCUGGCCAAGAUGAUUCUGACCUCAUUGAUAUUCUUGAAUGGGCUAAGGUGAAAAAUGAACUUUUCCUUUUUGGAUCUAGAUAUGAUUCUAAGCUCUUUGUAACAAGAAUCUUGUGCCCAGGCGUUCUCUUGACAAAUUUUUCCCAAAUUUUCAGGCAAACAAUCAUGGAUCAUUACAGAUAAUAAGCGAGUACUACCAAUUACGUUGCCCUGCUAGAGGUUCCACUGUUAGAUUUCAUCCUUUGGAGCACUUGCAUCCCUUGGAAUAUCAUAGACCAGAAACAACCGUUUUACAUAUUGCUGGCUCAACCAUUGAUUUGAGAUCGUGCAGUACAAGUCUAGAAUUUGCUGAGGUAGAUGGUGAUGAUAGCUUUAAGAAACUUUCCAAUUUGAUAUGUGGUGGAUUUGGUUGAACUUUUGAUUGAUUAUGUCCCGGUUCCAGACAUGAUUAAUCAUUCACAUUGCAUUGCUGUUGAUUAUUAUUAGGCACAGGGUGCACUCUCGGUAGAGGAGGAAGCAACUGCAUUAUCAGUAUGGGCUAUUGCAUGCAUAUGUGGCUCCUUACGGCUUGAAAAUGUUAGUUAAUGGCUCAACAUCACAUGAGUUCUACAGACUUCAUUGAUUAUAUUGUUAUCUUUUCCCGUUUCUUGGAACUAGUUAAUAGCUUGGCCAGUGCUAUUUAAAGUUUCUCAUAGGUUAACACUGUUUUGUUGAAAUAAUUUUUUUUAAUUAAACAAAAUGGAUUUAUUUGUUUUCAACCAACAAGGUAAAUUCGUUUUGUUAUGCUGACAGUUGAAACUGAUAGUGGCGUCUACACUUAUAAGCUAAUUGAAACUGUAGAAUUACUGCAUGAGUAAAACUGGCUCCAACAUUUACAACAUUUAUGAAGCGGGAAUCAAUUUAAAAUCUCCUCAAAGGAAUCAUUAAUUACAAUGUUGUAAGAGUGGAAUGAUAUCCUGCGUAUUAUUUGUGGGUAUUGUGCAGUGUCAGAAUGUUUUCGUUAGUAUAUUAUAUUGAAUGUACAGUUAUAUGAAUGCAUGUAGAUUUGUGUGUGCCUGCUUCAUGUCUGACUUUGGAUUAUUGAUUCUCCUCAUACUUCGCAGGUAUUAACAUUGUUUGCAGGAGCACUGUUGGAGAAGCAGAUUGUAAUUAUUAGUUCCAAUUUGGUAUGUAUUAUAAAUUAUAUCAAGUUUAUAAUGUUUUGAUGAAGAUUAUCAAUCUGAUGCAUGUAUUCUUUUUUACUCGAUGUAAAUUUUAUCAGAGAAAUUUAUUGGAUUUAUUAACAUCUUGCCAAAUGCAUGUUCCAAAACAGAACUGUAUAAGUAUCAACUGCUGCUUAUUUCGUAACAAGCUGAAAAAGCUCAACCCAAAUGAAUUUAGUUGGAGGUAGUAAAGAACUGUAUAAGUUAGCCUCAGGCUAUAGGUGCAAGUUUGAACUUCCAAAACAGAGUGGCUCCUUUCUCAACAAGUCCCAGCAAGCGAGGCCUAAGGACCAGUUACACCCAUUUAUGUUGUUUAUUAGAGAUAGCUUGGCUUAGGAACUUUUUUUGAGUGACACUAGUGUUGCCAUCAUUAUUAGAUCGUAGUUUUGUUUAUUUAUCAAAAGAUCGUAUUGUUACUGUUUCAUUUGCUUAUGUACUUAUUUUUCGGUAAGCUAAUAUUUUAAUAUGGGUGUGGACUGUUCCAUUAUUUUUAAAUUUGUUCUAAUAAUUUAGUUCUUUGACUAAGAAAAAAGAUCUACAAAAGAAUUUACAUCAAUGCUUUCUGAUGUACAGGGUAUCUUAUCUGCCUCAGUAUUGUCAAUUAUCCCUCUGAUCCGUCCCUACCAGUGGCAAAGCCUGCUAAUGCCGGUAUGUUUUCCUUCUAGCCUACUGCCUGUGAGAUUUGUCCCAUGAGAAGUUACUUUUUUUAAACAUAAUAAUUUCAUUGCUGUUUUCAUGUGAAUAACAAUGUGCAUAUACUUUCUAGGUUUUACCAAAUGACAUGCUGGACUUUUUGGAUGCACCUGUCCCUUACAUAGUGAGUUCUCAAUUUGUUGGCUGUUAUGCCUAUUAGUGCCAUGGAUUAUGAAUUCAUGUUUGUUGGUUUAUCUGGACUCUGAAUUUCCUCAAGUUAUUAGUUGAAAGCAAAAUUUUUUAAUCGUUCACCAUAUGAUUUAAUCCUUAUCUGUAGGUUGGUGUGAAGAACAAAACAAAUGAAGUGCAGUCAAAACUAGCCAAUGUAAUUCUAGUUGAUGCAAACAAGAACCAGGUCUGUUGUUUUUUAAGCAGUUGUAUUUUUCUACUUAUAUUGCAGCUCAAAUAUGUUCAGACUGGUUAUUAACCGUAUGCCUUACAAUAAACAAAGCAGAAAGUUUCUAUAUAUUAGUUUACCAUUUCCCAUGCUUAUGUAUUAUCUAGUUUUUUGGAAUGGCUAGUAUUUAUCAAAAUGCAAAAUAUUCCUCUAAAAACAAAUAAAAUGCGAGUGUCUGAUCCUUUUCCCAUUGUGUGAUCUAAUAGGUGAAGUCACCAACACUACCUCAGUUACCACAACAUAAGGAAUUAUUUUCAUCCUUAAGUCCUUAUCAUGCAAAGCUUGUGGGAGAGAGUUUUUUGGCUAGGAAAAGGCCAGUGUAUGAGUGCACAGCUGAACAGGUGUGUUCUGCUUUGUUCUUUUUUGUCUGAUUUCAAAGUUUUUAAUUAUUUACCAUUAUUCUCAUGUGUUUAUUUGCCGCAUGUAGGUUGAAGCUGCCAAGGGUUUCCUAUCAGUGUUAAGAACUUACUUGGAUUCUCUGUGCUCUAACCUCCGUUCACACACAAUUACAAAUGUACAGUCGAAUGAUGAUAAGGUCAGUUUGUUGUCCAACUGUGAUAGCUGAAAUGCUGUAUAAGGAUAUUUAGGUUUUUUUGACCUUCUUUGGAAUGAUGAGUGGUAAAUAUAAUCUUCCAGAAAAAUGGCCAGGCACACACUCACAGACACACUGCUAGUCAUUAGAUAAGCUAGACUUCACUAGUAAUGAUGAUUGCUGUAAAAGUUUAGGUAAUAUAUGUCCUGAAACAAAUAUCACUAUAUUAUUCUGUUACACUGAGGGUGCAAUGUUGGCUAAUGUUAUUUUUCAAAUUUAUUUUUGUAUGCUUUACUUGUGAUGGACUAAGUUCUGUUGAAGUGUCAAUGGAACCUCAGCAUAAUACAUCCUUAUAUCAUUCACUUCGUACCUUCAGUUAUGUUGAAUUGAUAAGUGCAGAUCAAUUUGUCAAUUCUUUUGAAUGUGAAAUGCUUGCUCAUAUAUCUAGUGACAUUCAUAUGUGAAUGCACAAUCAUAUGGUGACUUGUCUUGGAAGAAUCCAAAUGUAUUGCUGCUGAUCUGACACUGAUUUUCUUGUAAUUAGGUAUCCUUACUUUUGAAGGAGAGUUUCAUCGACUCGUUUCCUAGUCGUGAUCGACCAUUUAUGAAGGUGUGUUCCAUGACAUAAUUUUCUUUUGUUUCUCUGAGUUAACUGAACAGCCCAUUGGCUUGAUCAUUCUAUAGAAUUAGCUAGCUGUUGGGAUUUUAGUCUUAUGUAUUUCCUUAAGGUCAUUAUUAUUGUUAUCUUAUUUUUUAUUUUUGCCUAUUUUCUGAAAGUAGUUUAUAAUAGAUGGUGUUGGUUUCUGUGUUCUGUGUUCGUAUUUGGAUGAGUGUAGUAUAGGAUGUCACGCUGAAGGCAUCUAAGUUUUUAGUCGAGUCAUGUAGAUAAAUCACUGAUUUAACCUCCUUUUUCUCUUCGUUUUUGAAAGUGACUUGUAAUGAUUCUUACUUCAAUGCUUACUCGGGAUGCUCUUUAAAUUGUAAUACAGCGGAAAGCAUACUGAUGUUUCCUUUUCUCCCUAAAUGCUAUGCAGCUUUUUGUGGACACUCAACUCUUUUCUGUACAUACGGAUCUUGUUCUCUCAUUCUUCCAGAAGGAAUAGUCCUAAUCUGAACAUACGCCAUGCUGAGGUCUGGCAGUGAGUUAUAUUUUCCUGUUGUAACCUGAACGUAAGUUCGGUAUGAUGUCAAAUUAUUAAGUGACAUAAUAUUCAAGAACUCAAUCUGGCUUCUUGAAAUGGCACUUCUCUUCCCCAAAUGAAAGUUGCCUGCUUCGCAUCGCGGCAUUCUGUAUCAUGAUGAACUUGUAUUCCAGCAUAUGAGAGAACUCGCAGAAUUCUGGUAUCCCGCUUGAAGUGUAAAUAGUAAUUUUGUUUUAUUUACUUGAGUUAGUAAAACAUGACUGUUUCACCGUUCCGAUUUAAUAAAAAUUUAGCGGUUGGUUAUUGAGACAUACCCGCCUUAUGCUGUUGUUCGGUGUGGCAGGCUGGUGCUUAACUUCUUGAGGAUAUGCACAUUGGUUGUGUGGGGGCCUUUUUUUUUUUCUUUUUUUUUCCCCCCCGGAUCUUAAACUAAGUUACUUUGAAUGGUGCUAACUGCAACAUUUCCUAAAAUCCUGCAAACAAAAAUAUACAGAACUUUUUCUCCACCAAUUCGACUUUACGAAGUCUUGAAAAUUUUUAGGUUUCCUGGUUAAGUUUCAUGCCAAAUCUCAUGUAUAAUUCUUGGAAUGCAUUCAGAAAUUUUACAGAGUAAUUAAAAAGAAAGAAUAUCAUACAACUUUUGAAUACAGUAACAGUCCAGGUUAAAAUACAUUAACUUGGAGGGAAGUGAAAAAAACAAAAAAAGGGUGUCUUUCAACCAGUGGUUGGGGAUACUUGAAGGGAUGUUUUUGGCUCAAGUGGGAUCAAUAUAAAAUAAAAAUAAAAAAAGGGGAAAGGUCGGUUUGCAUUGCAUGUGUUUCAGCCUGCCAGGUGAUCCAAGAACAGUGCUAGACAAUACCCUACUUGUGCAAUUUCCGAACGUACAAUACAAGAAUAGUUUCAGGGGCAAAUAAAUGCAACCAAACAUUAGGAACUCUCUUAAAUACUUUGGUUUUUUUGUUUUACUUUUAACACCCCAGCACCACCACCACUUUCAUUGAAUUCAGUUAUAUCAUCACUAUGAGGGUCCUAAUAAUGCAAGUCUUGGUCACCGCCAAUUCAAAGAUGGCCUUCUUCUAUUUUCAAAGUCAAUAUAUAUGUCUCUAUUAUUCUCAAACCCCCAAGUCAAAGUAUAACUAUAAGAGGAAAAGGAAACGCAGAGAAUAUAUUUUUCUCUUAUUUGUUUACAACUUUGGUCUGAGUUGUGAUGUAAUCUAAAUCAGAGAAGCAGUGUCUUCUGUUUACAAGUCUUGAACUUUGACUUGUUCCCUUGGUUGGUCAGUCACUUCACUUGUAUGCUUGCAAACCACUUAAGAUUAAAAAUAAAAAAAGUUUACUUGUAUUGUAUGCUUGCAAGCCACUGAUGAUCAUGGGCCUGCCUCCUGCCACAGGCCAAGGAAACCCAUUUAUUGAAGACUUGGAGUGAAAAGUUUCAUGUAUUUUAUUGCUCUCAAGUUCUCAACAAGGUUAGAGUUCUUCUGAUAAAAGUUUAUAACUUUAUAAGCUAAAGUGAACUGAGAAAAAAAGAAAACUCCUGUCCUUUGGAUCAGUAAUGACCCUUAAUCAUAAGGUUCAAAUCAACGGUUAAGAUCUGCACACUAGUUUAUAAUGCAGGAAAAAAAGAAACUUGUCUGAAGAAGAAGAAGAAAGAGAAGAAGACAAAGCAACCACAUGAGCAUUUGAAACAAAGAAAGCAAGCAAACAAUAAGAAAUAUAUAAGAAUAAUAAGUACAGUGAGGGUUGCUGUAUUUGAUCAGAACCCAAAAGCGGUCCUGCUCUGAAUCACUGGUUUUCUAAAUUUCCGAAAUUGAAAAAAAGGCCAGAGUGUAAGUGGGGGGUACUGGGGUCUGAGGUAAAGGAACAGAAAAAGUAAAAGAGUUAGUAGCAGUAAAAGCUCAAACCGUACAAUCUUCUGCUCACACAGGCAUUAGCUUCAGAUACCAACUCUAUAGUCUCUCAGACAGACAGACAUAAUAACACUGAAUAAUUAAAUAAUCUUUUUUCCUUUUUGUUUUUGUUUUUCAAUUUUUUUUAAACAUUUACAACUUCUUUAUUCACUUCCCUUUAGUUUAUGGAUUUCUGUAGAGUUGUCAGAGACAAGAGCUGCCACAGAGGCAGAAGCUUAGCUGCAGAACCAGAAGCAACAGAGGUGCAGUCAUAAUAUGAGCACAGAGGAGAGAGAGAGAGAGGAGGUGGCAAUGGCAUGCAGCACUGUAAUCAGAACCAUUAGUUUUAUCCAUGUACAGAAGAUUCUGCAGCUAAAUGGUCCCUGAAAUAAAUAUACCUACUCUACUCUCUCUGCUCUGCUCUACUCUCAAACUCAAAGGCCCUCCCUCUCCCUUUACUAAUAAUAUUGAAAUUGAAUCAUGCAAGUGCAGCCCAACCCCAUCCUGUUUCUCUCAUCUUUUCUCUCUUUCACUGCUCUGUGAAGUCUGAGACAACCAAGUUUCAUAUUUUUCUUUCCAAUUUGUUCUUUGGAGGAAACUUGCUUGCUCUUUCUUUCUGAUUUGGAAUUUCCCUGCCUCUUCAAUAAUAGUAAUGAGUGGGAGAACCAGGUUUCCUUUUACACCGUCUCAGUGGCAAGAGCUUGAGCACCAAGCUCUUAUCUACAAGUACAUGGUUUCAGGCAUCUCCAUCCCACCUGAUCUCCUCUUCUCCAUCAAAAGAAGCUGCUUGGACUCUCCUCUGCCUUCAAAGCUCUUCUCACACCACCCUCCGCAUAGUAAGCCAACUAGUACAACACCCCCCCCUUCCACCCCCCCUCCCCCCUUCUCUCUCUCUCUCCGCAUAGUAAGCCAACUAGUACAACACCCCCCCCUUCCACCCCCCCUCCCCCCUUCUCUCUCUCUCUCUCUCUCUCUCUCUCUCUCUCUCUCUCAUGUGUGUGCGCGCUAAGAAUGGAACUUUAGAGCUUUUUGAAUGAAUAAUAUUUUGGGUUUUGCUUACAAGAAGGUUCCUUGUUAUGUUUGUGUGGAUUUUGCAGUUGGAUGGAGCUGUUUCCAGAUGGGUUUGGGGAGGAAAGUAGACCCAGAGCCAGGAAGGUGCAGAAGAACAGAUGGGAAGAAAUGGAGAUGCUCAAAAGAGGCAUUUGCUGAUUCAAAAUACUGUGAGAGACACAUGCACAGAGGCAAAAACCGUUCAAGAAAGCCUGUGGAAGUUUUCAAAACACCAAUUACAACAAACUCAAACCCAUCAUCAUCAUCAACACCAACAACCAUCUCAUCAAUCACCUCCAAGAACAACCCCCCUUCUACAUCAACCGCAACCUUCCAUUCCCUUUCUUCAUCACUCUCAUCACUGUCCUCUGACUCCCACCACGCUCAGCCCAACCACUCUAGUUACAAUACCAAUCUUGAUCAUCACCCUUUCCUCUAUCAUCACACAUCUUCUUCAAGGCCUCCUGGAUUUGGUUUGUCACAUCAAGAAAGAAAUACUUCCUUGCUUCUGGACUCUGGUUCUUAUCCCCAAGCCAGCUCAGAAUACAGGUUUGUCUAGAAACAACUCAUAAAGUUAUGGUACUUAUUUUCAAUGUGUUUUAUGUUAUUUCUUUGAUUAUUUAACCUGUUCGUGGUUAAAAUUUUGUUUUGUUUUUUGUCAUUCUGGGAGAAGAAAUAGGUAUGUUUAUGGGCUGAAGGAGGAGGUGGAUGAGCAUGCAUUCUUCUCAGAACCUUCGGGGUCUGUGAGAGACUUCUCUGGCUCUUCAUCUAUGGAUGACUCUUGGCAGUUCACACCACUGACAAUGAGUACUUGCACUUCUUCAUCUUCAAAACAGAGAAGCUGCUCUGCUUUACAGAGUGAACACUCUCACUUGCAGCUUCAGAGCAAUAUCACUCCUAAACAGCAGAAUUACUAUGCUUUGGGUAGUGACAUGAAAAUGGACAGAAAUGAAGGAACCCAGAAAACCAUUCAUCGCUUCUUUGAUGAGUGGCCCCUGAAAGACAAAGAUUCAUGGCUUGACUUGGAUGAUAAAUCAUCAAACAGUGGAUCAGUUUCAAACACCAGGCUCUCAAUCUCCACUCAUGACUUCCCCAUCUUCAGCUCAAGAAAUCAUAAUGGUACUUACACUGUUUAUUUUCAGUUUGUCAAUUAAUAUUCAUUUGUUUUGAGUUAAUUAGCUAUACUGUUCUUGAUUGUUCAGACCCAGUUGUGAUCUUUGUCUAUUAAGUUCAUUUUGUUUGGUUUUGCAGAUGACUGAGUCUCUCUCUCCAGUACUGGUUUCUGAAUCAAAGGCCAAAACUGUACUUACCUGGUGCGUCACUUUAAUUUUGGUGUUUGGGUGUUUGUGUGUAAGGUCUAAUUACAAAUUGACUAUUUUCUUUUAUUUUAUUAGCUGAAUGUGGUUGAAUCAGAUUAUUGUGUUUUAAAUGAAGGAUCCUAUGUCUCUGGCCAUCUUGGUUUCAUGUCCUACUCUACUUCAUAUAAGAGGUUCCAAAUGAGUCAGCCAAACCUGUUUUAUUUUUAGGCUACCAUUUUGAUGUUUUGUUUGUUUGAAAUCAUAAUUGAGGGGACCCAAUGGACCCAGGAUUUGCUAAAUAUUUUGUCAGUUCUGAAUCUGAGCUUACACCAGGUUAUGUUGGCAAAGAGUAAACCAUCC
rnacentral:lncRNA from 1 species